CCCCCUGCAUUCGCUCCAUAGGAUGCACACACAUUUUCCCUUGCUUUUUAGGAGGGAAAAGGUGCGUCCUAUGGUGCGAAAAAUACAGUAGUUUCCUUGCAAAUAGUGGGGUGAGAGAAUGUUGCUUUAAUGGUGAUUUUAGUGCUAGACAGCCACAUACUGAGAGUCAUUAACAGUAUCCAAAUUUUGUUGUCUGGUUAGCUCAUUAAUGAGAUUGAGGAAAUGGGUGGGAUGGCCAAAGCUGUAGCUGAAGGAAUACCCAAACUUCGAAUUGAAGAGUGUGCUGCUCGGAGACAAGCCAGGAUUGUUUCUGAUCACAACACGUUCACCUGUGUGGAAGUAUUGCAGUUUUUACGUGCAUGCAAGCUGAAAAUCUUAGCUACCUAAAUUAAAAUUUGAAUGCCGUUGGUGAAAAAGCUUUCAGGUUGUGUUUUUCUUUUUAGAAAGCUGACUUCAUGUCGCAACUUGUUUUAAGUUAGCAGUUUCUGAAAUUUAUUUUAAAUCCUUAACGUUUGGGAAAUACCCAGGUUCUGAAGUAAUUGUCGGAGUCAAUAAAUACCAGUUGGAAAAAGAAGAGACUGUUGAAGUUUUGGCAAUUGAUAACACUUCAGUCCGUAACAAACAGAUUGAAAAACUUAAAAAGGUGAAAGCUUGCAGAGAUGAAGUUGUAGCGCAGCGUUGUCUUGCUGCCCUGUCAGAAUGCGCCAGCACAGGCCAAGGCAAUUUGCUGGGCCUAGCAGUGGAAGCAGCACGUGCCAGAUGGCUGUACUGAUCAGUGUGGGAUUCUUCAGCGCAUGGACACCAUAUGCCGCAGUCAGCUUCUGGUCAAUAUUUCACUCCAGUGAAUCCAGUGAAUGUUGACAUGUCUUUUUGCUAAAUCCUCAACAGCCUACAACCCUUUUCAUUUACUAUACUUUCAGCAAAACUUUCCGGCGUGAAAUUAAGCGCCUCCAGUGCUGCUGUAGCCAGAAAGUUUACAUUAGCACCAAGCAUACCACCAAUAGCCAUGUGUCAGUGAUUUGGUCAGGAUGGGAUAACGCACACAGUUCUUUAUUCAGAAGGACAGUGGAGAAGUGCCAAAUCCAUCAGCUGCAGAAGUCUUAUUUGAAAAAGUUGCUCCAAUGUCCAGAUCAUGAAGUCUCCCAGGGAAACACUGCAAGGGCAAGUAAUCCCUAGGAAGUUUAUAAUCAACUGCUUGCAGGAUAAUUCUGAGGUCCUGCCAGCAAGAAAUGAGGAAUCUCAAGGAAUUUUGAGCACACGGACUAAAUUAGAAUUUGCUAUAUUAAUAGCUGGCAGAGGAGGUAUUUAUGCAAUUAAAAGAGAUUGUAAUGUUAGUGAACUUGGCAUUUGUUUUUGUGCUUUUGUUGGAGUGUAUGUGAUGCUGAGCUCAGGUGUCAAUGAUGGAGUCUCAAGAGGCACAGGCGUCUUGAAGAAUAAGAAAAGACCUUUGCUUAACGGGCUGUUAACACCUCCCCCUUCGAUACUUCUAUUAAGGCUGUUGAGCAAGAACCUUACAAAAAAUGGACUUUUCAUAAAAGGGUGGCUCUACCCGUCUUGUGCAUGUCAUCUCAGUACAGGAUUCGUGAGGUCACAGAACUGGAAACUGCCCAUAUCUCCCGCAAGGCCACCAACUUCAGACUCUGCAGAGGCUAUUGAGCAGGAAAAGAAAAAGGGAGACCAGGCAUAGGCAACCUUC